AGCUUUGGAUCAUUGCAGAUCCAUUAUGUGCUUCAUGAGGGGAUGGUAGCUGGUCUUCAGCAGACAGAGGAUGCUACAUUCUCAAUGGACUCAAUUUACUACCCACAUCUGAGAAUUUUUAUGACAGGUUGAACUUGUGCAAAAUGGGGCUUCCUGAUUGUUGCUGUACCAGAAUUAUCAUCAGUUUAAUGUUAUAAUACGGCGCUUGGUGAAUAGAAGCACUCAGGAACCAGUAUCGUUAUUAUUAGAAAACGAGGGAUCUUAGGAGGGCCAAGUGUGCUCGUCUUACCCUUGAGCUCAACUUUUUCUACCGCUGUC
rnacentral:lncRNA from 1 species